rnacentral:lncRNA from 1 species
GGUUCUGUUCCAGGUUUUCAAGUUCUCUCCUGAUUUGAACCUUGGAUAACAUACUGGAUUGCUAUGUCUCUCCCUGUUCCAGUCUCAGCAACAUUAAUUACAGGUCAAAUUUUUGCAUGGUAUUCAAGCCAAGUGUGUUAUUCUUACAAUAACCAACAUACAUCAAAUUCAUACAUCCUCUCAGCAAACACAGAAGCUGAAAAUUUAGCAGAUUGAGCUGGGUGUCAUCGUUUUAAGCCCUGCACCAGAGCCAGUAACUUCUGCUUCCCCUGUUCCAGCUUCAGCUCUGAGGUUAACAGAGAAGUGUCACCCCUCUCCACUGCAGUCACUGUCUGAAAAACCACAGCUCUUUGUGUGCCUGGAGUCCCUUUGGGAUGAUAGGGCCCACUGCCAGGCUGCAGCUGGCAUUGCAGGAGAAGUAAGUGGAAUGUGACAGGGAAACCUAUAAAUAUAGCACCAGACAGAGCCCAAGCCUGAGGAGAAAGAAAACAUCAAUGUCACACUUCUCUUGGCAGACACCUGCACAUGCUGACAAGUAACUGUGACCCUGUCUCCCAUCCUUCUCGAGAAGGGCUGAAGCAUCAACCUUAGGACCCAGAGGGAUGUUGUGAAGAUAAUCAUAACAUCAGAGAAAAUGCAUAGAUACUAGGAAGGCUUUAGAAAACAACCCCACAAUUUAAGUCUAUUAUUAAUGAGACUAUGGCCUAUAACAUGACUUUGAGUGUAAGAACAUGCCUUCAAAUAAUUUCAUCUACUACAUAUCUUCACCAGAUCAUAAAUAUUUAAAUUAAAUCAAGCAGGAAUAACACUUCAAAACAGAGAUCUUUUUCUGGAUCACUUUCAAUAAUAUCACUAAAAAAAUUGUGCUAUUUUUUUUUUACAUGCAUUAUUUUUACAGUUCUUCAAGUUGUUGUUAGGUAGGUGACAAAAAAUCCAAAGCAUGCCUGGUUAAUGUAGCAGUGCCCAUUGCCUUAUGCACUAGGGAGUCCUGAACUCCAGAAAUCUGUGACCACCACUGAUGCUUUAACAGGUAAAACAUCUACUGUAAAUUGAUUAUUUUCCUUUCUUCACAAGUGUUCAAAAACAAAUGGAGAUCAGAUGCUUGAAUACAGUCUGGAUUGAAUAGAAUACUGAACACGGAUCUAAAGGUAAAAUAAAAAUAUUUUCCAACUUAUGAUUGCA